rfam:Leersia perrieri chromosome 5, whole genome shotgun sequence.
UGCAAAUGAUGCUAAACCAAGGCUUGUUUCUCAUAAGAUUCGCAGUUGCCGCCUAAUAGCUUUUGCACUGCCAGGCUUGAGAGCUGUUACUGCUUAAUCCUUCCUUGGAUGUCUGAUGCA